GGGCCCGUAGCUCAGCUUGGAUAGAGCGAUGUCCUCCUAAGACAAAGGCCGAGAGUUCAAAUCUCUCCGGGCCCG
rnacentral:tRNA from 1 species